rnacentral:lncRNA from 1 species
UAGAUUAAAAAUAUCUUUUGGGGUAAAAUUUCACUUUGGACUUUGUAUAUCUUUUUCCUUUCCCUUGGGUUAAAGUAUUAGAUAAUGAUAUUUAAGAUUCUAGUACCUUGAGUAUACCUAUAUAAGAAUGACAGAACCAGCAAUUCAUAGAACUUGUAUUUAACAGAAAAGAAUUUAUAAAUCUGCUGCUUCAUUUCUUUUUCAUAAGUCAAAACCAGAAAUUUUAAAUGCCAAUCAAUUGCCAAAGGAAAUUUGUCUCAGAAGCAAAGGCAGGAAGGAAUAGUAUAUUGUGAGAUGGUCUGAGCUUCCUUAAACUUGAGAUAUUUUCAUGCCUGCUUGCUCUCUUUAAAAAAAAAAAAUGUUUAGAGCAAUAAUAAAAGUUACAUUGCCCUUUCUGUUGUUAAUAUUGACUUAUAUAAUUUCUGAGCAUACCACUGCUUUGUUCUUUAAAGAAAAAUUAAAACUGCCCUAACAUGGGUAUCUAACACGGGUUUUCAAUACUUAUUAUGCCCCAGAGUUAAUGAGUUCAGUCUGCUCUGAUAAUAUUGUAGUCAUGACAUAGGUUAGUCACUGCAAGGAAAAAUAUAAAUUGUUAGUAAGAGAAGUAAGUGCAUAUUUGUGAAAAUAUCAGGGUCUAUCAUUUCCAGUGUUGGUGAUGCUAAUGUGUAAUAUUCCAUUUGUUUACGCUUAUAUUAAAUUGACAAAAGGAAAGAAAAAAAUUCUUCCAUUCACAAGUGGCUGAAAAGGCCUAAUCAAUACUACAUUUAUAGUUUCCCAAUAACUCCACAUGGUUAGCUUUUAGAAAUCUGUCUUUUAAAUAUGCUAUUUUUCUUAAUUUGGAGUUAAUCAGCUGAAAUAGGUUCAUCCCUUUCUUUUCAUCAGUAUCACAAAGUGACUGUCUGGGAGCCUGAGUUCUAAUGAGGCAGCCAUUCCAAACACGUACAGACAAAGCGGUGGUUUCCCUGGCAACGAGCACCAUGAAAAAGCUCUUAGAAUAGUUAUUCCCACCCUUACAUAUGAGUCCUUUUCAUUUCAGUAAAGCUUCCUGUCAGAAGGCAUUCAUCAAUGUAAUUUACCAACGAAGUUUAAAAGAUUAAAUCCCUUUCCCCGUAAGAAUUAAAAAAUAAAAACUACAGCUAAAAAUCAACAGCUAUGCUGAAAUUAUACUUGUGUUAUCAAAUGAUGCUUCAAAGGAAGUAAAGGGUGUCAUAAGAUCCCUGAAUUCAGUUAACAUCACUUUGAACCUAAGAUUAAUUUUCAUUUGAUUUUAAUCCAAGGAUUUAGAAGGUAGAUGCAUUAGAAGGAGGGACAGGUUCAUUUAAUCACUACCUUUGUGAUCCAAAAGCAAUUUUUAUUAAAUAGUAAUAAAUUCACAAAAACUUAUAUCUCUGUAACAAAUUAAGAUUUAUGAUCUCCUUCAUAAACAUUACCCAUUUGUUAGUGAUGUUUACAAAUAAAAGCAAAUUCUGAAAAGAUGUUUUCUUUUCAACUGAUAGAAUUAAGUAAAAGAUCUGCAAUUGCUAUACCUCAACUGACUUUGCAUCUCUGUAUGUAACAUAAAAAGCACAGAAACAGACAGCACCUUGUGUUAUGUACCAUUUCAAGAAUUGUCUCUUGGAGUUCCUGUCAUGGCACAGCGGAAAUGAAUCUGACUAGGAACCAUGAGGUUGUGGGAUCCAUCCCUGUCCUCACUCAGUGGGUUAAGGAUAUGGCAUUGCUGUGAGCUGUGAUAUAGGUCACAGAGGCGGCUCAGAUCCAGCAUUCCUGUGGCUGUGGCAUAGGCCAGCAGCUGUAGCUCCAAUUGGACCCCUAGCCUGGGAACCCCCAUAUACUGUGGGUGUGGGCCUAAAAAGCAAAAUCAACCAAUCAAUCAAUCAAAAUAUAAAUUAAAAAAAUAGAAAUUAAAUGGCCUCAAAAUAAAACAGAUGCAACCCUUUAUUUGGCUUUCAUACUGGAAAUCAAAUUCCUUGAGUUUAAAAUACACUCACUAUAUGUAAUACAAAAUGAGAAUAACACACUGUCAGCAUUUCUCAAAAUGUUAUCACCCAACAGAUGCAGGUAGAUUUUAUAUGCUAGGGAUUUACCCUAGGGUCCUCACUGAAUACAAAUCUAUGCUUGUUUUUCAGCAAAGGAACAUAUUGUCUAGUGCAUUUUCUUUAAAUAGGUAUAAAAAUUAUUUUUACACAGAUUAGGUUGUGUUUUAUUGCUCAGAAAAGUCUAUCUUCCCUUUUUGUCCCAUGACACACUUAGCCUUAUAAUAAUAUUAGGAAGUCAGAGUUACCAUUGCAAAAUAAAACACACUCACACACAAACACACAAGAUUUCUUAAAGAGGUAAGAAAAGAAUUUACAUUGAUAGAGAAAGCAGCGCAUUCUCUCUAUUUUUUUCACUUGAAGAUUGAAAAGGAAACUUACUUCAGUUUGUAACAUUGCAUGGAUUGCUCUAGAUACAAAAUGAAUCAAGUUUCCCAUUGGAUUAUGUGAGUGGUAAUUUCUUCUCUUCCUUAGUGAGAUAAUUCUUUGCUUAGAACCAUGGCAUGCAAACUCAAAUAUUGUCUUUCUCAUAAUGGUUUUGAAAAGUGUGUCCCCAUUUUAUUGUUGUUUGAGAUAAUAAAAUCACAGAUUUCAUUAACUAUCAAAAGGAAUGUGUAAUAAAAUAUAGUGGGGGAGAAGUAACAAUUUAGGAUACAAUAGAUGAGAAUUUCAUGCCAUGAAUAUUCAUCAGUCACUUAGAAUUUGCAUGUUAUGUACAGGAUUCAGGAAAAAAUGUAGUUUGUGUGUUUAAAUUUCAAACUUUAUUUCUUCUUACUGCUUUACCUUUUCAACAUAGGAAGAUAUACACAUUAUAAAAUGUACAGGACCUAUUUUUGAAUAUUAAAAUCUGUGCACUAGUCCAAUCAUAUCUCUAACUUACAUUAGUUAUCUUUCCCUUUAAGAUAAAUAAAGCACCAGGAUUUUGUUCAUUUGUGUAUUACAUUUCUUUUUGUUUUAAAAUGGAUGUUCACAGUUUUAUGCUUAUAAGAAUAUAUAUAAUUUAAGUACUUUCAUGAUAUAAAAUAUAAUACACAGUUCUCUACAAUUAAACUUACAGUGCAAAACCUCAGCUGAAAAUUACUUAUAAAACUUCCAAUUACAGUUUUACAAGUUUAGGUAUUCUCUUCACAGCUGAGGAAUAUGAUGCAAAUAAAAGUUGAGUGUACUUCUCUGCCUCCAACUACAACAUAAAGUUGAUCUUCCAUGUCAUGUUUCUUAAAAGCAACUCUAAAAUAAGUUUCCUCCAGAUCCUCUAAAUUAUUCUCUUUCCCUAAUGGCUUGCUGCAUUGUUCCCCAGAAGAAUGACUGGAAAAGCCCUAUUGCACUUAAUCUAAUUAGAGAUUGUUUUUUGAGAAACAGAGGUUACAUAGUUCUCAUUAACUGACAAAAAAAACUAUACCAUCGCUAGAGGUAU